CCAAGAUGUCUUAACGUAUGACACUAAGUUUCACAAACUGCAAGACAGUGUCAUGGGAGUAGGAUACAUGAUGCAGGGGAUUUAACAAGUACCACUCAGUCCUGGGAUAUUGAAAGAAGCAGGAGAGAAAGGACCUUCUCCUCUCAACAUUUCCAGGACUACAGAGAACAUGUCACAUGCUGAAACAAAUGGAGCAACACUGGCCCAUUUCUCUUCCACUGAGGGAUGAACCUACCUUUUGCAGCAGAGAGGAUAUGGACAUCUUUCUAAAUUUAAAGUGUUUAUGUGAGGAACACAGGACGGAUGUCAGUCCCUACACUGGCAAUGUCAUUGGACUGCAUUUUUUUUUUUUUCCUAAAUGCAAUGCUGUCAUUAUCUUUAAAUUUCCAGAAUUCUCAUGUAGUGACUACCAUAUUCAACAGACAAUUUGAAUAUGGAUUGUUCCACAAUUGAAGCUAAACUAGGACACUAAUUAAUCCCUUUUCUGCAGUUCUGUAAUGAGUUGGCUAGCUUACAAGUACCACUGACCUCUAAUGGAUGGAUUCCGAACUGUUCAGUCAUUUGUCAUGUCUUAUAGGGCACAACUCAUGGCAAAUCUGCUUUAAGUUAAUAGUAAGGACUUGUGCUUUUGGGUCAGGAGAAUCUAAUUUCAACCUCAGUUGCUGCCAGGAAUUUCUGAGUGCUUGUGGUCUCCAGCUCAAGUGUAGGGUGUCAUUAGUGAGCUCAAAGGAGUGAGCAGUUACUCACGAGAAUGAGUUAAUGCUUUGCUCACCACUGUAGGAAAGUUUGUAGUCUGUCUGCAGUAACAAAUGUGAAGCUGUAGGUGGUGAGAAAUUUGUUAUACUAUAUAAACAGAACAUUUCAGAGCUAUUAUAAAAUUUGAGAUUUUUGGUGAACAGAGCUCUUUAUUAUGUCAUUGUUCGUUGAGGUCUAGCCAGCAGUGAUUCAUGGAAUAUUACUAUACAUCUGAUUUUAGUAGUUGCCCAUUACAUGAUGUUAACAUAUUUCAGUAAGUAAUCAAUUCAAUUUUUGGUAUGCUGCUUUAAUUCGGGUUUCAUUCCUUGCCUAGUAUUUAUUUUCGGAGGUGUGUUGUCCAUCUUCGCCUGAGAUCACACUGCCCUAUUUGCAGUAGCCAUUUUAGGAUAAAAUACUUAAUAAGAUUUGCAUUUAAAAAAUGAACUAAAAGAACUGGACCCCCUCCAGCGAGAAACAAGUAAUUAUAUCAUUUGUAUUGCAAACCAGGAAUGGCUAUAAAACAUCAGUAUACUUUUUAAGAUUGAUAUUCUUAAGAAGCAUUAUAUUACAUAUAAAAUGACAUGGCAGGCAGAGAGGAGAAACCCUCUCUGGUGUAACCAACCCACAGACUCAUAGGCAGAGGCAUAGUUUUUAUUCUAGAUCCUGCUUAACUAAGAUCUCUGAAUUUACUGCUUCUAAAUUUUGCCUUUUAUUUUCAAGGUACCAUGAUUAUGAAAGCUAGUGAGGGACCUUAUUAGAUUUUGUCUGUGACUAGAAGAAUUUUUUGGUAGAUUUGUCUCAGAAAACCAUCCAAAUAUUGCAUAACACAUACACAAGUCUUUCAUCUGGGUAAUUUAUCUUAGAUUUCUUCUCCCUAUUCCUGCCAAAAUAUGAACCACUGAAAUUUUUGUCUGUGUAGCUGUGCAAAAAUGGCAUAACUAAGGUAUAUUUUGUGCUGUUGGUUAAUAUGGCAAGAGAUAUUUUAUGUAGCUUAGAUGCUUAUGGCCUUAAGACCUCUCGUUCUAAGUAAAAACAUGGGAAUUGUUAUUCUUCUCUUGUUGGAUGACUAAACUAGUUUAAAUAGUCUUCAGGCAAAGCACAGUUUGUGCUAAAAUCCAUGUAACAUUUUGUGAAUCUCAAAUAGAAAUGUUCAUCAGUUUUUCAAAUACUUGUGAAUGAUAUGUAAUCUCAUGGACUAGAAUCAUGUGCAUUUGACAUUUUAUUAAUGAAAAUUUUCCCAAAUCAGUGUCUGAUAACUUGUUUAAAUAUUCAGGGGCUUCUACCCUGAAUACAAACCAUUUGCAAAAAACUGUUAGGUGAGUACUAAUAAAUUAAUAUGUUAAUUAAA